rnacentral:rRNA from 1 species
CCUACGGGGGGCUGCAGUGAGGAAUAUUGGUCAAUGGCCGGAAGGCUGAACCAGCCAUGCCGCGUGAAGGUCAGUGCCCUAUGGGCGUUAAACUUCUUUUGUGCGGGAGCAAUAAUGGUCACGUGUGGCCAGACGAGAGUACCGUACGAAUAAGCAUCGGCUAACUCCGUGCCAGCAGCCGCGGUAAUACGGGGGAUGCAAGCGUUAUCCGGAUUUAUUGGGUUUAAAGGGUGCGUAGGGUGGGAGGUAAGUCAGCGGUGAAAUGCCCCCGCUCAACGGGGUGAAGUGCCAUUGAUACUGCCUUGCUGGAAUGCGGAUGACGUGGGAGGAAUGUGGGGUGUAGCGGUGAAAUGCAUAGAUAUCACACAGAACACCGAUUGCGAAGGCAGCUCACGAAUCCGCGAUUGACGCUGAUGCACGAAAGCGUGGGUAUCAAACAGGAUUAGAUACCCCAGUAGUC